AUUGAACGCUGGCGGAAUGCUUUACACAUGCAAGUCGAACGGCAGCACGGGGCAACCUGGUGGCGAGUGGCGAACGGGUGAGUAAUACAUCGGAACGUGCCCAAUCGUGGGGGAUAACGUAGCGAAAGCUACGCUAAUACCGCAUACGAUCUACGGAUGAAAGCGGGGGAUCGCAAGACCUCGCGCGAAUGGAGCGGCCGAUGGCAGAUUAGGUAGUUGGUGGGGUAAAGGCUCACCAAGCCUGCGAUCUGUAGCUGGUCUGAGAGGACGACCAGCCACACUGGAACUGAGACACGGUCCAGACUCCUACGGGAGGCAGCAGUGGGGAAUUUUGGACAAUGGGCGCAAGCCUGAUCCAGCCAUUCCGCGUGCAGGAUGAAGGCCCUCGGGUUGUAAAGCACUUUAAGCGAGGAGGAGGCUACUUGGAUUAAUACUCUAGGAUAGUGGACGUUACUCGCAGAAUAAGCACCGGCUAACUCUGUGCCAG
rnacentral:rRNA from 1 species